UAGCAUAAGUUUAGCCCAAAUUGACGUGACGUUCACCCGAAAAAUCUUAAACAGUUUCAGAGCGCUGACGUAGCGCACUGGUCUGGUGAACGCACCCAAUGAUAUAUCGAAACCCAAAAAAAAAGGAAGAAGAUAAACGUCAUCCGUCAUCCAGUCUCAUCUCGACAAAAAACCAAAACAUUUCUGACAUUUCUCAAAAUAAACUAGUUUUUGUUUUAUUGCUUAUAUGUAAUUCAGAUAUUUUGUGACUGUUUAAAUUAUGGAAACCAAAGAAGAUGUAAAAUAUAUUAAAGUUGAAGUUAAAGAAGAGUACGAGGAUGAUUUAGAAUCGAAAAUAUCCACAUACACUCCCAUCUCCUCAGAAAUUAAAAUUGAAGAUGUUGAAGGAUUUGCUAAAGAUGAGCCAGGAAUUUUCCUACCAGAGAUUAAAAUGGAAAAUAUGAAAACAGAAACAAAAGACUUCUCUAAUAAGAUACACGAUUCUCUAGAUGAUACUGAAAAAGAAAAAUUCAGUGAAUGUGAAAUUUGCCACAAGAAAUUCAAAGAAAGAAAACACCUGAAUCAACACAUGAGGAGGUUACAUAAAGAAAGAAAAUCUCUCGAAUGUGAGAUUUGCUCCAAAUCGUUUUCUGCUGGUUUUUCUUUAAGGAACCAUAUGCGCAUCCACACUGGGGAGAUGCCUUUCCAAUGCAAAAUCUGUUCAAGGAAGUUUACCAGAAAGGAUUUCAUGAAAAAACACUUGAUCACACACAGCGAGGAAAAAUCUUACACAUGUGAAGUUUGCUUGAGACCCUUUUCACUAUUGUCUAAUCUGCAAAGACAUAUAAGAAUUCACACAGGAAUUUGAUAACAAUGCGUUGUACAACCGAACAUGGUACUACUCUCUAGUUUAUCGCAACAGUAACUGACUGCACGUUAUUAGAGAACAAGCGGUAGCGGCCUAGCGCCCAGUCGUGCAUCAGACUAUAUAACCUCCCACCACAGGACUAAUCUAGACAUAUAAUAAUAAUAUUAAUAAUAAUGAAAAAGGUUUUUAUUCCAAAAAAAAAAUACAUACAAAUAUUGAUCGAAGUUUAGAUUACUCUUACAGUUAACUCACUAACUUGAUGCUGAAUUAAAUUCCUCAAAUGUUUACAAUUUAAAUGGCACUAAAAUUAUAGAUAUAAACAUAUAGAGUGAAACGAAUAAAUUUAAAUAAAUAAGAAAAAUGCUUUUUUUUUAAUUCACAUAAAGGAGAAGGCAAAGAAAGGACAGCAACUUAUUAUAUGGACUAAAAUUGCAGAUUAUUAAAUGGAUGCAGCAGAUUGUUUUAUUAAAUGUAAUGAUUGAGUUUAUUAAUAAAAUUUUUACUUCGGUUUCAAACUUUUUGGAGGUUUUAAUGUUUUUAAAUUUUUGUGGGACAGUUGUAGGCCUUAAUAGUUUUAUAGGUAAAAUAUUUUUUAAAUAUAAAUGUUCUAAACCUAGGAAGAGCAAGUGUUUCAGGAAAGCGAAUGGUGCGUGGAAGUGUAUGAAGCUGUUCUCUAAAUAUAAUUUUAUCUUUUAUGUAACUUGGUGUAUCUGUUUGAAUCACUUUAUGAAUAAAAACCAAAUUUUGCAGCUUGUAUUGAUUAGUAACACUAAGCCAAUUGAGUUCUUUUAUUUUAAGGGAUAUUCUGUCGUAUUUUCGAAGGGCAUGAAUCUACAUGCAGCAUGAAUUUUGUAUUUUUUGUAAUCGUUUGAGAUUAUUAACCGUUAGACAAGAACCAUAUAUAAAAUUAUAUCGUCAGUUUAUGCUAAGCAUGGACGGAAAGUCAGUUCCCAUUUGAUUCACCCACGUACAUAUCAAAUAAUUUUUAUUCAUGAAACAGAUUGGUGCAGGUCGACCUUAUAUCGGAUCCUCUACUAUUAUACAAAAAGUGAUUUACAAGACCACAUUGAUUUCCAAGGUUUUUAUCCAGAAUGAAUUUUCAAAUGCGUCUCCAAGUUACCAUUCCGAGAAAACUGCUUAGAACAGCUAUUACAUUUAUAUUUAUUUAUCUACGAUUUUUCGUUAGAGUGCAUAGACAAGUGUUUUUUGAAAUAACCUUGCUGAGAAAACCCUUUCAAACAAAUUUCACACUUAUAGGGCUUUUCUCUAGUGUGAACUUUAGCGUGGUCAUCCAAAUAUUCUUUUCGCGUGAACUGCAUAUUACAAAUUUCACACUUGUGAGGUUUUUCACCAGUGUGCAACAUCACAUGUCUUUUCAAACUACUUGCUCCGAAAUAAAGCUUAAAACAGAUUUCACACUUAUAGGUUUUUUCCAAUGUUGUGACUGCGUAAAUGUAUCGCCAAAUUACUGUUGUGAGAAAACAUCUAAAAACAAAUUUCACACUUAUAAGGCUUUUCUCCAGUGUGAACCAUCAAAUGCCUCUUCAAAGUUCCUGCUUCACUAAAUCGCUUAGAACAAAUUUCACACUCGUGAGGUUUUUGUCCGGUGUGCAAUCUCAAAUGCCUUCUUAAAGCUCUGACACCACUAAACCGUGUAGCACAAAUUUGGCACUUGUAAGGUUUUUCCUUAGUGUGGAC
rnacentral:misc_RNA from 1 species